rnacentral:misc_RNA from 1 species
UGUGGGAGCGGGCUUGCUCGCGAUGAGGUCGCCACAUUCAACAUUGAUGUGGCUGAUAAACCGCCAUCGCGAGCAAGCCCGCUCCCACA